GCUCUUGUGGCGCAAUUGGCUAGCGCGUUCGGCUGUUACCGGUGUUAUUACGUAAUCAUUGCGUAAUCCCCAGCGAGCAACCGGAAGGUUGGUGGUUCAAGCCCACCCAGGAGCG